rnacentral:rRNA from 1 species
CCUACGGGGGGCAGCAGUGGGGAAUAUUGGACAAUGGGCGAAAGCCUGUUCCAGCCAUGCCGCGUGUGUGAAGAAGGCCUUCGGGUUGUAAAGCACUUUCAGUGGGGAAGAAAGCCUUGGGGCUAAUACCCUCGAGGAAGGACAUCACCCACAGAAGAAGCACCGGCUAACUCCGUGCCAGCAGCCGCGGUAAUACGGAGGGUGCGAGCGUUAAUCGGAAUUACUGGGCGUAAAGCGCGCGUAGGCGGUCUGAUAAGCCGGUUGUGAAAGCCCCGGGCUCAACCUGGGAACGGCAUCCGGAACUGUCAGGCUAGAGUGCAGGAGAGGAAGGUAGAAUUCCCGGUGUAGCGGUGAAAUGCGUAGAGAUCGGGAGGAAUACCAGUGGCGAAGGCGGCCUUCUGGACUGACACUGACGCUGAGGUGCGAAAGCGUGGGUAGCAAACAGGAUUAGAUACCCGUGUAGUC